CACGUAGGGCGCAAGCGUUGUCCGGAAUUAUUGGGCGUAAAGAGCUCGUAGGCGGUCUGUUGCGUCCGCUGUGAAAACCCGGGGCUUAACCCUGGGCUGGCAGUGGAUACGGACAGACUAGAGGUAGGUAGGGGAGAAUGGAAUUCCCGGUGUAGCGGUGAAAUGCGUAGAGAUCGGAAAGAACACCAACGGCGAAAGCACUCUGCUGGGCCGACACUGACACUGAGAGACGAAAGCUAGGGGAGCGAAUGGG
rnacentral:rRNA from 1 species